CUAGCUCUGGGUAGCUCUUGUAUCAAUGUGGUAGAACCUACAAAUAACGUAACAGGAAGCUGAAAAAUUCUUGGUGAGCACGCCCUCCGGCUUGUACGAUCGAGGGAAGCCUAAAAGGAAUUUCAGAGGCAUCCACUUUUAAAGAGUGGGUUUCUCCUAUUUCAUGACUGCCCAGGGUGUUC
rnacentral:other from 1 species